UAGGGAAUCUUCCGCAAUGGACGAAAGUCUGACGGAGCAACGCCGCGUGAGUGAAGAAGGAUUUCGGUUCGGAAAACUCUGUUGUGAGGGAAGAAAAAAUGUAUAGUAAAUAUAUACAAAAGAGAUGGUACCUAACCAGAAAGCCACGGAUAACUACGGGCCAGCAGCCGCGGUAAUACGUAGGUGGCAAGCGUUUGCCGGAAUUAUUGGGCGUAAAACGCGCGCAGGUGGUUUAGAAAGUCUGAUGUGAAAGCCCACGGCUCAACCAUGGACGGUCAUUGGAAGCUACUAAACUUGAGUGCAGGAGAGAAAGGUGGAAUUCCUGCUGUAGCGGUGAAAUGCGUAGAGAUUAGGAGGAACAACGGUGGCGAAAGCGGCUUUUUGGCCUGCAACUGACACUGAGGCGCGAAAGCGUGGAGCGCAAACAGG
rnacentral:rRNA from 1 species